AGAAAUUCGGACUAAUACCGCAUAAUACAGGGAUGCCGCAUGGCAAUAUUUGUUAAAGAUUUAUCGGAUGUAGAUGGGCAUGCGUUCCAUUAGCUAGUUGGUAAGGUAACGGCUUACCAAGGCAACGAUGGAUAGGGGAACUGAGAGGUUUGUCCCCCACACUGGAACUGAGACACGGACCAGACUCCUACGGGAGGCAGCAGUGAGGAAUAUUGGUCAAUGGACGAGAGUCUGAACCAGCCAAAUCGCGUGAAGGAAGACUGCCCUACGGGUUGUAAACUUCUUUUGUACAGGAAUAAAAGACAUUACGUGUAGUGUAUUGCAUGUACUGUACGAAUAAGCAUCGGCUAACUCCGUGCCAGCAGCCGCGGUAAUACGGAGGAUGCGAGCGUUAUCCGGAUUUAUUGGGUUUAAAGGGUGCGCAGGCGGGAUUUUAAGUCAGCGGUGAAAUUUUCAGGCUCAACCUGAACACUGCCGUUGAAACUGGGAUUCUUGAG
rnacentral:rRNA from 1 species